GGUUCCUAGUUGGAUUCGUUAACCACUGCGCCACGUCGGGAACUCCUCAUUUACUAUUUUAAAACAGUAAAAGGAAUAGGGCAGAAGAGGCCUGGUGGUCUGCUGGUGGGGAACUCAGAGCUGGUGGGGCCUUACCUCGCUCCCCCCCCAUCGUCUCUUUGUCCCAGUGGGAUGGGAACAGGGUCAUUUACAGAUGGAAGAUCACGACUAGGGAAGGCAAACUGAGUGCUCGCUUUUAUCUGUCUCUCCCAAAUUUCACUGAACGCCGAGAAGUCCACACGCACUCUCAUGGCAAAAACAAAAGUGCAAGAAGAGUAAUGGUGAGUCACUUCCGUGAUGGGCGGUGGCAGGUGGGAUUGAGUGAGGAAGAAAAGAGAUCUGAGAAGACAGAAGCUGAAGAUCUGCGGAGAAGGGGGCUGGGCUGGGAGGGGAGCUGUUGGAGGAACCAGAGCCCUGCAGGAAACUAGGAAAUCCUGGAAGAAGCUAGUUGCUGUCAAGCAGCAGAAGGGAGGACAAGGCAGGAGGUGGCGUCUUCAUGCGUGCCUUUCACUGUCAGGAGGCACCUAGCAGUGUGACCCCAUGUGGGUGAGAAGAGAUACAGAUACAGACUGCAAAAGUCCUGUGCUCGGGUCAGAGUCCCCAACCUCCCCCCGGAGUCCCCAUUCUCCCCCCACACUGCUGACCACUCGCCCAUCAACAAGCGUCUCCUCCCAAGUGGGACAAGGUUGUACUCAGAGGUGGCUACAGCUUCUGCCACCUGAAUCCAGGACUGGGCCCUAGAAUGCAGAUACUGGCGUGGGGUGGGGGCAGAUAGCAGGAAGGGAACAGGAUCCAUGGAGGGCAGCCUGGUGCGUGGGAGGGCUCAGGUCCUCAGGACGCAGGACUGGCAGUCUCUGCUUUCCGCCUCCCUUCUCUGCGCCCCCGAGGACAAGCGCUGCCCGGGGACCCUCCUUCCCAGUGUCCCUCCACUUACAGAGAUGGAGGAGGAGCUGGGAGGGCUGAGGGUGUCGCCAUCAAGCACCAAAAGGCCCCAGUGACCAAAAUAUGUAGCUCAUUUUCUGGAAGCCCUGGGAAGGUACCCCCGCGCCUUGCUCAGGUGGGCCCUCGGCCCAUCACGUGCUCCAGAACCGGGGAGGGUGCUCUGGGCGCGGCACUGACCUUGGAGACCAGCUCCCUCGGCCCCCCUGCUGCUCCUGCUCUCCCCAUCCUCUCCUCCCUGUGCCCCGGUGUCGUGGCCAAGGCCCUGGCUUUGCACGCGCGGUCUUGCUGGAUGGGUGCGGAGGGGAGGGCACGCGCACGCGGAUGGACGCCCUGCCUCGGAGUUCGUUCUCGCGUCCCCAUUUCCCCAACUAGAAAGUGUGGCCGCCGAGGCGCCCUGCGGCUUAGCCAGCCCGGCGUGGAGCCCCUGGACCUCGGCUUCUGCACCCAGACCUCCUACCCCGCCCCCGCCCCUGGCCCCCGGCCCGCCCCACCCCGAGCCUGGGGGGACCGGCACCUGCACCAGGAGGAUGAGGCGGCUCCAGAGGGAGGGAGCGGGCUUAGCCCUUCUUGGUCAAGACUCUGCUGAUAUUCUUUACUCAAAACCAAACCCGUAUCUACAAAAGAGAAACAGACUCAAUCACAGAGAACAGACUAGUGGUGGCCAAGGGGGUGGGGGGACUGGACGGGGAGUUUGGGGUUCGUAGAUGCAAACUCUUAGGGUUAGAGCGGAUAAGCAAUGCGGUCCUACCCUACAGCCCAGAGAACUCUAUCCGAUCUCUUGGGAUAGAACAUGAUGGGAGGUAGUAUGAGAAAAAUGUGUGUGUGUGUGUGUGUGUGUGUAUAUGUAUGACUGUGUCACUUUGCUGGAAAAAAUUGUAGAUCAACUAAACUUUAAAAAUGCCUUUAUUUUUCAUCUAGAUGCGAAAGUGAUACACUUCAUGGGGGAAAAUGUAGACGGUGCAGGGAGCACAAAGCACAAGGAAAAUAAAAACCACCUGCGACCCCAACAGCUCAUGGCAGUUGGCGUUUCAGUCGCUUUCCAGCUCCCUUGCUCUGAUGACAAACACUGCGGGGUCGUUUGGAGCAUUCGCUAGCAUUUUUCCUGGCAUUUGAAUGGUCUGUUUCUUCCCCGCAAUGAUUAAAUAGCACCCCACCAUC